rnacentral:rRNA from 1 species
AGGGUUUGAUUAUGGCUCAGGACGAACGCUGGCGGUGCGCCUUAUGCAUGCAGGUCGAGCGAAGCUUUUCAGUAGUUUACUACAGAGAAUGACUGAGCGGCGAACGGGUGAGUAACGCGUGAGCAACCUACCUUAGUUACUGGGAUAGCCCGAGGAAACUCGGAUUAAUACCGGAUAUUCUUAUUUAAUCACAUGAUUUUUUAAGGAAAGGUCAGCCGAACUAAGAUGGGCUCGCGUUCUAUCAGCUAGUUGGUAGGGUAAUGGCCUACCAAGGCUACGACGGAUAGCUGGUCUGAGAGGACGAUCAGCCACACUGGGACUGAGACACGGCCCAGACUCCUACGGGAGGCUGCAGCAGGGAAUAUUGCGCAAUGAGCGAAAGCUUGACGCAGCGACACCGCGUGUGGGAUGACGGAUCUAGGUUUGUAAACCACUUUCAGGAGGGAAGAAAAUGACGGUACCUCCACAAGAAGCCCCGGCCAACUACGUGCCAGCAGCCGCGGUAAUUC